UGUGCCUUGCUUUAUAAUUAAGUUAUUAUGUAGUUCGACUUUGACUUGACUUUUACAAGUUUGACUUGCUUUUUGUUGUCGUGAUUAAGAGUAUGAUGAUGAUCUCUGCUUUUUUUUUUUGUGUUUUGGAAUGGAAACUUGAUCAAGUGUUAUGUGAGCAAAAGAAUGGAUAAUGUAUUUGGUGAACUGCACUACUGUAGGUUUUCAGAUUGUUUUUAUUGUCAUGGAUAUUGUAUUAUGUUCGAGUAAAAUUAAUGGUUUUAUGUUCGGGUAUUGCAGGUUCAUGGGUAUAAUUAGACCCGAAACUCAUAUUUAUACCCGAAAAUAUGUGGAACUGACCCGAAAUAUCAGGAACCGACCCGAAAAAUGUGAAAU
rnacentral:lncRNA from 1 species